GCUUGAGCACGUAGGUGGGUUUGUAAGUCAGAUGUGAAAGCCUUCUGUUCAACGGAAGAAUUGCAUCUGAAACUACAAGUCUUGAGUGUAGGAGGGGAGAAUGGAACUUCUGGUGGAGCGGUGAAAUCCGUAGAUAUCAGAAGGAACGCCGGCGGCGAAAGCGAUUCUCUGGCCUAUUACUGACACUCAGUGUGCGAAAGCUAGGGGAGCAAACGGGAUUAGAUACCCCGGUAGUCCUAGCCGUAAACGAUGGGCACUAAGUAGAGGGGAUUACCGACGUUCUCUCUGCCGUAGCUAACGCAUUAAGUGCCCCGCCUGGGGAGUACGGCCGCAAGGCUAAAACUCAAAAGAAUUGACGGGGGCUCGCACAAGCGGUGGAGCAUGUGGCUUAAUUCGAUGCAACGCGAAGAACCUUACCGGGGCUUGACAUGGUAGAAGUAGGAACCCGAAAGGGUUACGAACGGUAUCCAGUCCGUGACUAUCACAGGUGUUGCAUGGCUGUCGUCAGCUCGUGUCGUGAGACGUUGGGUUAAGUCCCCUAACGAGCGAAACCCUUGUUUUUAGUUACCAGCGGGUUAUGCCGGGUACUCUAGAAAGACUGCCGUCGUCAAGACGGAGGAAGGUGGGGAUGACGUCAAGUCAUCAUGGCCCUUAUGCCCCGGGCUGCACACGUGCUACAAUGGUCGGUACAAACGGAAGCGAAGCCGAGAGGUGAAGCGAAUCCAAGC
rnacentral:rRNA from 1 species